rnacentral:rRNA from 1 species
GUGGGGAAUAUUGCACAAUGGGCGAAAGCCUGAUGCAGCAACGCCGCGUGAGUGAUGAAGGUCUUCGGAUUUGUAAAGCUCUGUCUUUUGGGACGAUAAUGACGGUACCAAAGGAGGAAGCCACGGCUAACUACGUGCCAGCAGCCGCGGUAAUACGUAGGUGGCGAGCGUUGUCCGGAUUUACUGGGCGUAAAGGGUGCGUAGGCGGAUGUUUAAGUGAGAUGUGAAAUACCCGGGCUUAACUUGGGUGCUGCAUUUCAAACUGGAUAUCUAGAGUGCAGGAGAGGAGAAUGGAAUUCCUAGUGUAGCGGUGAAAUGCGUAGAGAUUAGGAAGAACACCAGUGGCGAAGGCGAUUCUCUGGACUGUAACUGACGCUGAGGCACGAAAGCGUGGGUAGCAAACAGGAUUAGAUACCCUGGUAGUCCACGCCGUAAACGAUGAGUACUAGGUGUAGGAGGUAUCGACCCCUUCUGUGCCGCAGUAAACACAUU